rnacentral:rRNA from 1 species
AGGGUUUGAUUCUGGCUCAGGACGAACGCUGGCGGCGCGCCUAACACAUGCAAGUCGAACGGAGUUAUGCCGACAGAAGCCUUCGGGUGGAAGAUGGCAUAACUUAGUGGCGGACGGGUGAGUAACACGUGAGCAACCUGCCUAUCAGAGGGGGAUAACGUUCUGAAAAGAACGCUAAUACCGCAUAACGUGCAGAGGAGACAUCUCUCCUGCACCAAAGGAGCAAUCCGCUGAUAGAUGGGCUCGCGUCCGAUUAGGUAGUUGGUAGGGUAACGGCCUACCAAGCCGACGAUCGGUAGCCGGACUGAGAGGUUGAACGGCCACAUUGGGACUGAGACACGGCCCAG